AUUGAAUCAAUUUUAGUUAGAUUCGAACCGACCGGAGGUUCGAGCCGAGCGUAGCGAGACAACGUUGCUUUAGCAACGACCCGUAGGGCGAGCAUGUUAAUGCGAGUCAUCCUCUCUCGCCGACCA
rnacentral:sRNA from 1 species